CUCAUUAUGUGUCUAAAACACACAUGUAUCGACACGUACACCGGGGUGCCUCGCUGCCUGAAAGGGCGUAGAGGUCGGUUGUAUGGGAUACAUGGAGGCCCAAC
rnacentral:sRNA from 1 species